AACGAACGCUGGCGGCAGGCCUAAAACAUGCAAGUCGAACGCCCCGCAAGGGGAGUGGCGCACGGGUGAGUAACGCGUGGGAACGUGCCCUCACUACGGGACAACGUCGGGAAACUGACGCUAAUACCGUAUAAUGACUCCGGUCCAAAGAUUUAUCGGUGAAGGAGCGGCCCGCGUCUGAUUAGCUAGUUGGUGAGGUAAUGGCUCACCAAGGCUACGAUCAGUAGCAGGUCUGAGAGGAUGAUCUGCCACACUGGGACUGAGACACGGCCCAGACUCCUACGGGAGGCAGCAGUUAGGAAUAUUGGACAAUGGGCGAAAGCCUGAUCCAGCCAUGCCGCGUGUGUGAUGAAGGCCCUAGGGUUGUAAAGCAACUUUCGUUGGGGAAGAUAAUGACUGUACCCAAAGAAGAAGCACCGGCUAACUUCGUGCCAGCAGCCGCG
rnacentral:rRNA from 1 species